GCGGUGGAGCAUGUGGUUUAAUUCGACGCAACGCGAAGAACCUUACCUGGGCUUGACAUCUGCGGAAUUUCUACGAAAGUAGGAAGUGCCCUUCGGGGAGCCGCAAGACAGGUGCUGCAUGGCUGUCGUCAGCUCGUGUCGUGAGAUGUUGGGUUAAGUCCCGCAACGAGCGCAACCCUCGUCGUAUGUUAUAUGUGUCAUACGAGACUGCCGGUAAAAAGCCGGAGGAAGGUGAGGAUGAUGUCAAGUCAGCAUGACCUUUAUAUCCAGGGCUACACACACGCUACAAUGGUCUGUACAAUGGGUAGCCAAGCCGCGAGGCGGAGCCAAUCCUGAAAGCAGGCCUCAGUUCAGAUUGCAGUCUGCAACUCGACUGCAUGAAGCCGGAGUUGCUAGUAACCGCAGGUCAGCAAUACUGCGGUGAAUACGUUCCCGGGUCUU
rnacentral:rRNA from 1 species